AGCCGUGAGCCACCGAGGGUGACAGGCCCCGUGACUCAGCGUGGUGGCAGAUGAGGAUGUAUUCAUUCCAGACUCAAGAGUAAACGGGGGGCGUUCAGGCAAGCGUGCAGGGCAGGCUGAGUCAACUCGUACCGAGAAGCUCAGAGUAAGCGGUGAGGUCCAGGGCCGGGAACUUCCCAGGCGUCCGCUCACCUGGCAGAACCUUGCCUAGCCUGCAGGGAGCCCUUUGCUCACUACCCAGCAUCCCAGGCGUGUGAGCCUUGGCCUGCACAGGGAGUCCGAGGCCAUUGUGGGCUGGAGAAAACAAAAAAGGAUUCAGAGCCUGGGCUGGGAGACAGUUCUCAGCUCUGUCCUGGCUUUCACCUGUCUGCCCGCGCGUCCUGCCGUCCUGCCGUCCAUCUGACAUCCUUACCCAGGGAGAACAGCAGGUGCGCGGCCGGAGAUGGGGAGAAUGACUCCCGGAUCCAUGCUCUAAGGCCUGUAGCCCACAGCUAGGAUUCCUGAGAAGAGAGUCGGGUGUUGGAAGAAGCCAGCCCUGGAAACAAUGUGUGUGGAGCCGUCAGUGGGGACCAGGUGUGGCGGAAAUCUCCACUCUCUGGUGUUGAUUCAGGCACCUCAGCCGAUGAAGCUGGGGAGACAGGCAGCUGUGAUCAUUGGUGAUUCUUCAAAAGGAGAAGCCAAACGUUGGCAAAACGAAACAGCACACCCUGUCUGUUCCAUUAUUAAACACGGCAGAUGCCAAGAAACGAAGGCUUGAAAAUAACCACAGCUGCCCAGGACGCGGCUCCUGCAGGACCCUGGCUCUGAAAGAUACCCUGGCCUGCUUCUGCCAGAAAACACUUUGAAAAAAGAGCGAAUGCAAGGCCACUUACUUCCACGUCGCAAAAACAGUUUGUCAGUUGCCAACUUCAUUUUCCUAAUGUUCUCUUACCCAGUAACAUAAGCCUGGUGGCUGGGUGGAGUCUGGCUCGGGGAAUUCCAUCCUGACCGCCAAGGAGUUUGAACUGGACACACUGUUAUCCCUCUUUUCUCCUGCUGUCCUGUUAUCCAUCCCACUAACGGGCUUCGACCCAAAUCGUGAGAGGGCUGGAAGGAAGGAAUUUCCAAGGAGGGUGAAGAAGUGUGUCAGGAGAGCUUUUAGCCGGUGAAUGCAGAAGUCUCCUCUCAAACUCAAGCCCAGGUUUAUUCAUUU
rnacentral:lncRNA from 1 species